GACGAACGCUGGCGGCGUGCUUAACACAUGCAAGUCGAACGGAAAGGCCCUGCUUUUGUGGGGUGCUCGAGUGGCGAACGGGUGAGUAACACGUGAGUAACCUGCCCUUGACUUUGGGAUAACUUCAGGAAACUGGGGCUAAUACCGGAUAGGAGCUCCUGCUGCAUGGUGGGGGUUGGAAAGUUUCGGCGGUUGGGGAUGGACUCGCGACUUAUCAGCUUGUUGGUGGGGUAGUGGCUUACCAAGGCUUUGACGGGUAGCCGGCCUGAGAGGGUGACCGGCCACAUUGGGACUGAGGGAGGGCCCAGACGCCUACGGGAGGCAGCAGUGGGGAAUAUUGCACAAUGGGCGGAAGCCUGAUGCAGCAACGCCGCGUGCGGGAUGACGGCCUUCGGGUUGUAAACCGCUUUCGCCUGUGACGAAGCGUGAGUGACGGUAAUGGGUAAAGAAGCACCGGCUAACUACGUG
rnacentral:rRNA from 1 species